rnacentral:rRNA from 1 species
UUAGAACGUCGUGAGACAGUUCGGUCCCUAUCUGCCGUGGGCGUUGGAGAUUUGAGAAGAGCUGCUCCUAGUACGAGAGGACCGGAGUGGACGCACCUCUGGUGUUCCGGUUGUCACGCCAGUGGCACUGCCGGGUAGCUAUGUGCGGACAGGAUAACCGCUGAAAGCAUCUAAGCGGGAAGCCCCCUUCAAGAUGAGAUCUCCCCGAGGCCUCGAGCCUCCUGAAGGGCCCAGCGAGACCAGCUGGUUGAUAGGCCGGAUGUGGAAGCGCUGCAAGGCGUUGAGCUAACCGGUACUAAUGGCCCGUGAGGCUUGACCAU